GAUGAACGCUGGCGGCGUGCCUCAAACAUGCAAGUCGAGCGGGGCUAUGUAAUAUCGCAAGGUAGAACAUAGCCUAGCGGCGAACGGGUGAGUAACACGUGGGUAACCUGCCUGGAAGACAGGGAUAACGAUUCGAAAGGGUCGCUAAUACCUGAUAAUAUCCUUUCAUCGCAUGGUGAUAGGAAGAAAGGGGAAACCCGCUUUCAGAUGGGCCCGCGUCCCAUCAGCUAGUUGGUAAGGUAAAGGCUUACCAAGGCGACGACGGGUAGCCGGUCUGAGAGGAUGUACGGCCACACUGGGACUGAGAUACGGCCCAGACUCCUACGGGAGGCAGCAGUUGGGAAUCUUAGGCAAUGGACGAAAGUCUGACCUAGCGACGCCGCGUGAGGGAAAAGGCCCUUCGGGUUGUAAACCUCUGUCAUGGGGGAAGGAGUAAGUGACGGUACCCAAGAGGAAGCCCCUGCUAACUACGUGCCAGCAGCCGCGGUAAAACCCAUACUCGCGU
rnacentral:rRNA from 1 species